GAUACUGUGCAUAUUUUUAACUUGAUAAAGUUUACAUGAUUUCCCUUGUCUUUGCGUCUUCAUACUCAGGUUCAGUUAGAGCAAAAAAAUGCAUUAUCCAGACUAAAAUACUGCGCAAACGUGUGUAGAAGGAUGACGAAUGCGUGUGUGUAAAAAUCGGAACGAAAUCAUAAUUUCAUAGUUGCACUCUUCCUAAAUGGUAAAUGCACGAAAUAAUGGAUGGAAAACAUGCUACUGAUAACAACUGGAGAAACUGAGUGMAUUUUUCUAUAAAUCAAAUCAAGAAAAAUGCAGCAUUGCUGAAUUAAUUAAUUUGUAUUCCUGGGUAAGAAAACUAAUUCUCCAGCAAAUUCCGUUCGGGACAGGAAGUAAGAAGUGAAAUGAUACCCAGCAAUUUGGUUUCCCUGUGUUUUGCCCCUGUCCGCCCCUCUAUUCAAACUCCAACAGUAAACCUGUCAAUCAAAACAGUUUCUAUUUCCUUAUUCGUUAAAUUCAGCGUGUGAAAUCGACGACUUUUUCUUUCUGGACGCUGAUUGGUUAAAUUGUGACUUGACACAACAUUGAAAUGGUUUUCUGGACAGCUGAGGUCAAUCAGUCGUCGGGGCGAAGCUGCUGGAAGAACAUCGCAGAGGUUUGUAUCCCUUUGAAAUGCCGUUAAAAUUAUAGCGAAAGCUUAUUCUGAACUCUUCAAUUUGCAGUUUUUAGAAUGUUCUUCACCAACUGUCGCUGAUGGAUACAUUGUAGAAUGCUUUUAAAGGCAAAUUCUAUACCGAACUUUAGUUCCAAACAGAGCACAUGGUCUACACGAAGGAAAGUUUACAUUCUCACGUAAAAAGAGCUGAAUAUUUCAAGAAAUGAAACGCGACGAUUUUGCCCCAUUUGGUUUGGGAUAAAGUAAAGCUGCGAACGUUUCGGUUGCGGCUUUGCUUGCUGGAAUACUUCCCUCCCAAAGGAUAUCAUGUACCUAACUAUCAAAUACACUUGAGAAACAAGAGCAUAGAUGAAGAACACAGAUGAAGAACAGAUGAAGACGUCGAGCAUGUUUCGGCAUGCAAAGGUUUUGAAUUCCUCCAUUAAGUAAUCUUGAGGAGCUGCAUCUACUGCACCUCCAUAGUUCAAGGGAAAUCAGAUGGUCUUAAUGUUUCAAGAAUGAAACCUUGAGAUACUUUUGUCAUACAAACUUGGUGCUUGGGAUACCAUCCAUGAAGAUUGGUAUUGCAACACUUUAGCUCUAGGGUUAGUUUGCAGGCAUAUCACAAAUUAUAGGAACUUUUCA